rnacentral:rRNA from 1 species
AAGGGCAAUGGCGGCGUGCUAUACAUGCAAGUCGAGCGGACUUACAAAAGCUUGCUUUUGUAAGUUAGCGGCGGACGGGUGAGUAACACGUGGGCAACCUGCCCUUGAGACUGGGAUAACUUCGGGAAACCGGAGCUAAUACCGGAUAAUAUAAGGAACCUCCUGGUUCCUUAUUGAAAGAUGGUUUCGGCUAUCACUUAAGGAUGGGCCCGCGGCGCAUUAGCUAGUUGGUGAGGUAACGGCUCACCAAGGCGACGAUGCGUAGCCGACCUGAGAGGGUGAUCGGCCACACUGGGACUGAGACACGGCCCAGACUCCUACGGGAGGCAGCAGUAGGGAAUCUUCCACAAUGGACGAAAGUCUGAUGGAGCAACGCCGCGUGAGUGAUGAAGGCCUUCGGGUCGUAAAGCUCUGUUGUUAGGGAAGAACAAGUGCGAGAGUAACUGCUCGCACCUUGACGGUACCUAACCAGAAAGCCACGGCUAACUACGUGCCAGCAGCCGCGGUAAU